rnacentral:rRNA from 1 species
AACGAACGCUGGCGGCAUGCCUAACACAUGCAAGUCGAACGAGACCUUCGGGUCUAGUGGCUCACGGGUGCGUAAAGCGUGGGAAACUGCCCUUAGGUUCGGCCUAACUCCCCGAAAGGGGUGCGAAUACCGGAUAAUGUCUCCGGACCGAAGCUUUAUCGCCUUUGGUUGUGGCCGCGUUGGUUUAGCUAGUGGGUAGGGUACAAGCCUACCAAGGCGACGAUCCAUAGCUGGUUUGAGAGGCUGAUCAGCCACACUGGGACUGGGACACGGCCCAGACUCGUACGGGAGGCAGCGGUGGGGAAUAUUGGACAAUGGGCGAAAGCCUGAGCCAGCAAGGCCGGGUGAGUGAUGAAGGCCUUAGGGUUGUAAAGCGCUUGUACCCGGGAUGAUAAUGACAGUACCGGGAGAAUAAGCUCCGGCUAACUCCGUG